CUUACAUGCUAGAGGGAGUGGGGUAAAAUGACACAAAAAGGUAAAGGAUAGUAUUAAAUAUUAAAUAGGACUAAAUUCUAAAAAGAAAUUGGUAUUAAAUAUUAAAUCGGACUAAAUUCUAAAAAAAAAAAAAAAAAUGGCAGGAAAAAUGUUUUGUUUUUUUCUCCUUUUUAAUUUUUGAAGAAUUUGUAAACACCCCCGACGGUGUCAUCACUGCUGGUAUUCCGGUG